rfam:Pan troglodytes isolate Yerkes chimp pedigree #C0471 (Clint) chromosome 15, whole genome shotgun sequence.
GGAUCGAUGAUGAGUCCUCCAAAAAAAAUAUUCCUUGGAAAAGCUGAACAAAAUGAGUGAAAACUCAUACCGUCGUUCUCAUCGGAACUGAGGUGUCC